ACCCGCAGGUGCCUCCCGAGGCGGCCUGGAGAAGGGAUGGUGUGUGCACCGCAACUUCCUUCCUCCCGAGCCAGCCGCCCUUCUCCAGUUCUCAGUGGGGACAGGACCCCCUGCUCUUUUGAUCCUCGCCUCUGCCGCCACUCUCUUCUCUCCCCCCACCUCCCCAGUCUCUUCUGCAAAAGAUCCUGUGAUGUCAUAGGGGAGGAGGGGGUCCGGAGUCCCCAGCACCUGAAAGCAUCACUAGAUUGCAUUCUGCAGCAUUUUAUUUUCUUCAUGCCACCCAAUUUUCCUUGCAACCCAUUGAAAUCGCAUCCUCACCAAACACUGCAAACACUGUCCCGUCCCCCCUCCCCCCAAGCCAAGCCAAGCCCAACCAUAAGACACCACUCCUUCAUAGCUAGACAGGGCCAGGAGUCCUCAUAGCACCCCACCCCAUCGCCCCCCCAAAUGGGGAAGAAAUCCGCUGAGGCACCCAAGGAGCCUCUCCUUUCUGGUUUGAUCUCUCCUCCCCUCUCGGCUCACCCUUCUACUUGAAGGAAAAGGAGGAAGGAGGAAGGAGAGAGAGACUGAGAGAGGGAGAGGGAGAGGCAGAGAGAGAGAGAGAGAGAGAGAGAGAGAGACAGAGAGAGAGAGGCGCAACACCAGCAAACAGUCUCCUAGACGUAGGGCUACAUUGAUGGACCGGAUUGUAGGAUUUCUGCACUGAGUCCCUGCCCCUCUGCCUUUCCUGCCACCCCAAGUCCCUUCCCCUCCUGAAGCAGCAAUCUCUUCCAUCUCCCUCUCUGGUCUCUUCUCCCCACCCCUUUCCUCUGCACCUAACCCCCUCCCCUCCAUCCAACCCCACCUUCACUCUCCUCUCCGAGGGGGGAGGGCCAGGGGGUGGGGAAAGAAAACCCCCAAAUCCCCAGCCCUGGGCAGAGAUGUCGAAGAAACGCAAAGCCCUCGAGGGUGGAGGAGGUGGCGGAGAACCCCAGCUCCCAGAGGAGGAACCCACUGCCUGGUUUGGGGACAGCAGCGAGGAGCAAGACCAGUCCCAGUGCUGACCAGUCCCAUCGUAUCUCUGACGGUGCAUAUCAGGAUCCGCAUUGAUCAGAUGCCGAAACCAUGGCUUGGAAUGGCUGCGAUGAAGCUGAGCUGCGAUUCAAACCCAGACACAGCUUUCUACAGAGAAGCACCUUUCUCCAGAUCUUCAUUGCCAUUUUGGACACACAGCUCCAAACCCAAAAUGUGUCCACUGGAUCAACCCACAAUGCAAACAACUGCUUUCUAAGGAAAAGCCGAGUUUCUAGGAGGCAGCCCACUUCUGACGUGUCCUUCAGUUAACAGGCUGCAGUGGACAGCGUGUGGUGGGUGGAGGAAGACGGCAGAUGAGAAAUUCAAGGAGAUUCACCACAGAGCAGCUUUCUGGCUCAGCUGUUCUAGGGUGCCAUGGAAAACACACCGCUUGACAAGGCUCCACCCUGGAGAUUUACUACUCAGUGAAAAGACACAUCCUAUUCACGGAUUGGGAUGCUGGAGUCCCCAUGUUCUGGGAAGAGGUCUGUCUUGGCAGGCUGCCUUCCCUCUGGAAAAGCGGCAUCUGGAGUGCCCACUCCUCUGACAAUACAACACGGAAUUGGCAGGGGGACACCUCCAGCCUUCACUAGACUUGCCUUGGUGUUAUCGCAUGCAGCCCGUGCAUUCAAGGUUCCUGGCCCCCGUGCUGGAUUGUAUGUGGAUUCUCUUUUGUGGCCUCUGCUGCUGUGAAUGGAACCCACAUUUAGAAUCAGCAACUCCCAGCAAAAUUGAGUACUCUGCAAUUCCUUAAAGCCCCUUUCUCUUUUCUCCAUGUUUCUCCAACCCAACGGUAGCCCAAGACAUUUUAGGUUGCCAUUGUGGGUGUUGUUUAUGGACUGUCUCCUUUGGGAGGCACUUUCUCGUUCUCUAAGAAGAAACAAAGCAAAACACAAGACCCAGCCUUCCCAGGUGUGUGAAGUCCUGCAUGGCAGCCCUCGCUGGCUCUCUGCGAACAGGGACAGAGCCCGACUCCUUCCUGUGGCUUCAUUUCCAUUGUCCUUGCUUCCUCGUAAUAAUUUUUGUGAAGAUUAUUCUGGGGCUGCAAAACUUAGCCUUACUUUUCAAAGUGUUCUUGCUCCUCCUCUCCCAAGCAUUUGCUGAAAUAAGAGGUUCCUCCGGGUUUUUGGAAACAUAUUCCUCAGUUCCUGACUUGACUCCAGAACGACACUUGUUUAAAGUUCACCCUCUUCUUCUCUGGGUUUCCAAUGUUGUCCUAAGGCUCGAGGUGUAGUUUUUUGUUAGUUCUUUUGUUGGUUUAGGUAGCAAUGACUGAAGCCUGUUCUCUCUAAGAGCUGACUACAAUUUUCUCUCUGCCUCUGAACAAACUAUUUUGCAGAGCUAGAGGUGUCCAGGCAUGGCCUCAGCCCUCACCCAUGCUGCUCUGGGCGCGGCCUCAGCCCUCAUCCAUGCUGCUCUGGGCUGUUCCACGGUCCUUUCCCCACUGCUGCAGGGAGGCCCAUCACUGGUCUGAGGCAUCCGCUCCUCCUGCAGGGUGCUUUAUUCCUCCUUCUUGCUGGAUUUCACAAACCACGAUGGCACUCAGGUCAGGGCAGCACACGAACCCCUGACACCUGGCUGAGGAGCAGGAUGAUGAGGGGGAAAGGAAGCUGAGGCCACAAACUUCAGGGCGGCCAGUGACUCUCAGCCCAAACCUCAGAGCUCCUCUUUGCAGAGUCUGCAGAGAGAGUGCGGCUCCCACUGUGCAAUGCACAGAGAGUGUCUCUGAAGUGACUCGCACCUGAAUCCAGUUCCAGCAACGCGAGGCUCCCGGGAAGGGCAGCUGCUCUUUCAGAGGGAGGCUCUCGCCCACCCCUCACACCUCAGCCUCUAUGCCCCUGGCCUUCCACGCUGGGAACAGUGUUACCCACCUCUGGGGAAAGAGAUGUGGUGAUGGCCCGGAUCCUGAAUCUCCCACCAGGACCAGUGAAUCCUGCAACCACGGCGGCAGGCCUGCACUGCACCAGGACUCUGGGCGAUGGAGCCUUGUGCCUUGCAGCCAGGGUUUUGGCCCCAUCACCAUGAAUAGUCUCCUGCUACAUAUAAGCCAACAAGGCUGCUUGUCCUGAUGAGUUCAAAACCUAGUUGAAAAUAUGCAGAGGAGUCCUCCUAACACAAGGCCCUGCUCUGUGAUUGCCUGGCCCGUAAAGAAAGGGUCAAGGUCCCAAGACAGAGCCCUACCUCACAAGACCUGUCCAGCAAGGACAGGGCUGUGAGCACUUGCAUUCCUUCCUUCUGCAACCCAGGAGCGAAGGCCGUCUUGGAUAUUAAUUUACUUACCUGGACUCCGAUCUACCGUGUGACUUUGGUCACGUUACUUCACCUCUCUUGGCCAAUAGUCUCUUUACUUUUUGCAACCCAGGGACUGGGCUUCUUCAGUGCCUCUUAGAACUCCUGAUCCUAAGGGAAAGGAUCUGCCCUUUGGGCAGCGUUUAAGUGUUCUCUUCCCUAAGCACCUCUCCUAUUCCAGGCUUUCUCUGUUCCAUGGAUUCCUUUUCCUCCCCAUGUGUGCAUUCUCUGGCACCUGCCAGAGGACCCCUUCCCAGAUGUUCCUUCCACCUUACCUUUCCAUUAUUUCCAUUCUUUCACCUUGCUUUGUCCUAAUCUGACUUUCUGAAGCCAUUAUCUAUUAUUUCAUUAUAAAAAGUCUAGCUUGGGACCCACCAAGUUCAUUUCAUGGCUGAUUAUUGGUUUGAGACCUGGAGUUUGAAAAACAGUGCUCUACAGGACCUUGAAAGACAAGUGCAUAACCCCUGUCAUUCAAGUGACUUCGGCACUGUGGAUCCUAGGACAGGUCCCUGAAGAAGGCAAGUGGUAGAGAAGGGAGAAAGGAUCUCAGGACGUGAGUUCAUAGGAGGCUGGGAAAAGUGUGAAAUGGUUUUAUGCUGGGAAAGCUAAACGGAGAGCUUCCUCCUUUCCACUGCGCCCUUGGAGCAGUACUGGCCGAAGGACUUUGUGACAAAGAAGGGUCUUACGUGACUUUAAGCUCUUCUCCAGGAGUCUACUAUUCCAAGAUCACUGGCUUUGCCACCAGUCUCAUGUGGGGAAAUAAGGAAGGGAGGAAGGAAGGAAGAAAGGAAGAAAGGAAGGGAGG
rnacentral:lncRNA from 1 species